rnacentral:pre_miRNA from 1 species
UGGACAGAUUAUUGUAUUCGACUGUAUGCACAGCGUGAAACAGGCGAUUACAUUGUUUUUAAACGGAAAGUGAAUCAAUUAGCAUAAUAGACUCCU